GAUGAAGAACGUAGUGAAAUGCGAUAAGUAAUGUGAAUUGCAGAAUUCAGUGAAUCAUCGAAUCUUUUAACGCACAUUGCGCCCGCCAGUAUUCUGGCGGGCAUGCCUGUUCGAGCGUCAUUUCAACCAUCAAGCCCCCGGCUUGUGUUGGGGACCUGCGGCUGCCGCAGGCCCUGAAAAGCAGUGGCGGGCUCGCUGUCACACCGAGCGUAGUAGCAUACAUCUCGCUCUGGGCGUGCUGCGGGUUCCGGCCGUUAAACCACCUUCAUAACCCAAGGUUGACCUCGGAUCAGGUAGGAAGACCCGCUGAACUUAAGCAUAUCAAUAAGCGGAGGA
rnacentral:misc_RNA from 1 species